CAAUACUUAGUGGCAGACGGGUGAGUAACAUGUAGGUAUCUACCCUAUGGCCUGGAAUAACACGAGGAAACUUGUGCUAAUACCGGAUAAGUCUUUACGGAGAAAGCUUUAUGCACCAUUGGAUGAGCCUGCACUUGAUUAGUUUGUUGGUAGGGUAAUGGCCUACCAAGACUGUGAUCAAUAGAUGAUUUGAGAGGAUGAUCAGCCACAUUGGGACUGAGACACGGCCCAAACUCCUACGGGAGGCAGCAGUGGGGAAUCUUGCGCAAUGGAGGAAACUCUGAUGCAGCGAUGCCGCGUGAGUGAAGAAGGCCUUUGGGUUGUAAAGCUCUUUCGUCGGGGAAGAAAAUGACUGUACCCGAAUAAGAAGGUCCGGCUAACUUCGUGCCAGCAGCCGCGGUAAUACGAAGGGACCUAGCGUAGUUCGGAAUUACUGGGCUUAAAGAGUUCGUAGGUGGUUGAAAAAGUUGGUUGUGAAAUCCCGGAGCUUAACUCCGGAACUGCAAUCAAAACUUUUCAGCUAGAGUAUGAUAGAGGAAAGCAGAAUUUCUAGUGUAGAGGUGAAAUUCGUAGACAUUAGAAAGGAUACCAAUUGCGAAGGCAGCUUUCUGGAUCAUUACUGACACUGAGGAACGAAAGCAUGGGUAGCGAAGAGGAUUAGAUACCCUCGUAGUCCAUGCCGUAAACGAUGUGUGUUAGACGUUGGAAAUUUAUUUUCAGUGUCGCAGCGAAAGCAUUAAACACACCGCCUGGGGAGUACGACCGCAAGGUUAAAACUCAAAUGAAUUGA
rnacentral:rRNA from 1 species